UACGGGAGGCAGCAGUGGGGAAUAUUGCACAAUGGGCGCAAGCCUGAUGCAGCCAUGCCGCGUGUAUGAAGAAGGCCUUCGGGUUGUAAAGUACUUUCAGUCGUGAGGAAGGUGUUAAGGUUAAUAACCUUAGCAAUUGACGUUAGCGACAGAAGAAGCACCGGCUAACUCCGUGCCAGCAGCCGCGGUAAUACGGAGGGUGCGAGCGUUAAUCGGAAUUACUGGGCGUAAAGGGCACGCAGGCGGUUAAUAAGUUGGAUGUGAAAUCCCCGGGCUUAACCUGGGAAUGGCAUUCAAGACUGGUUAGCUAGAGUCUUGUAGAGGGGGUAGAAUUCCAUGUGUAGCGGUGAAAUGCGUAGAGAUGUGGAGGAAUACCGGUGGCGAAGGCGGCCCCUGGACAAGACUGACGCUCAUGUGCGAAAGCGUGGGGAGCAAACGAGGGAUUAGAUACC
rnacentral:rRNA from 1 species